GCGCGUUCUCAGGGCGGGGCGGAAUUCCCCACCGGCGGUAUGCGGGCGACGCCCCGUAAGCCCGCGAGCGCCCCGGCCCGGCCAAGAUGGCUCCGGGGGUCAGCAGACCAGGUGAGAGGCCUGGGCCGACGGUCAUAGUCCGGAUGGAAGAGAACGAGC
rnacentral:ncRNA from 1 species